AUGUCUCGGCCGUGCUGCCAUGGUCUCAUCCUCAUCUUGGCCACCGUGAUCUUCUUUGCGCCACCACCGUUGGCGAGAGCAGCUGCUGCCAAGCUCGCCGACGUCGAUGAUCAUGGCGGGGACCUGCCGGCCGACGCCAUCUACCUCGUGCUGCUGCGCGGCGAGCCGCACCUGAAGGCACCGCGACGGCGGCAGCACGACAACGCGACGUGGUACCAUGAGCUCGAGCUGCGGGCACAGGAGAAGAAGAAGAUGAGGAGACAGCGGGCGCGUCUCCACGACGGCAUCCUCCGCCGCGCCAUGGCCGGCGCAGGCGGCAGCAAGUACCGCAAGCUCUACAGCUUCCACCACGCCGUGAACGGCUUCGCUGUCCAUGUGGCGGAGGGCUCGCGGGCGGCUGAGAGGCUGAGAGCGGCGCCGGAGGUGGCGGCCGUGGAGGAGGACAAGGGGACCAGGCUCAUGACCACCUACACGCCGCGCCUCCUCGGCCUCCCCGGCCGCGUGUGGCGGCAUAAACACGAUGGCGGCGGUAGCGGGGAGGGCGUGCUGGUCGGCGUCGUCGACACCGGCGUCGACCCGGCGCACCCCAGCUUCGCGUACGUGCCGUCCUGGCAGCCCCCACGCACGGGUGUCUGCAGCGCCGGGCCACGGUUCCCGCGGAGCUCGUGCAACGGCAAGAUCGUCACGGCGAGGUACUUCGCGGACGGCGCCGCGGCCGUGCUCCCGCUCGACACCUCGCGCGACCUGUCGCCGUUCGACGCCGAUGGCCACGGCAGCCAUGUGGCUUCGAUUGCCGUGGGGAACAGGGGAGCGCCCGUGGUUGCCGGUGGCGCAAUGUAUGGCUUCGCCAGCGGAAUGGCACCACAUGCAAGAUUAGCUGUGUACAAGGCAAUGUACCCGGCAGGGGGGACUACCGCCGAUCUGAUUUCUGCCAUUGAUCAGGCAGUGCAAGACGAGGUGGACGUGCUAGUGCUGUCCAUCGGGCCAGACGCGCGCCCUCCCACCAAGGUCACCUUCCUCGGCAUGCUCGACGUGGCUCUCCUGUUCGCGAGGAGGGCCGGCGUGUUCGUGGCUCAGGCCGCCGGCAACGGCGGCCCGGCUCAGUCAUCCGUCACCUCCUACAGCCCGUGGGUGACGGCCGUCGCCGCCGGCACCACUGGCCGAACCUACACGCCGUGGCUGGUCCUCGGCAACAACCGCCGGGUCCCAGGGCUCGGCCUCUCGGCACCCACUCCGGGCGGUGGCCUGCUACAGCACAGGCUUGUCGCCGCCGGAGAGGAUGAGGAAUGCCAGGACGCGGAGGCGCUGCGGAGGCGCGUUGGUGGGGUGGUGCACGGCAACGUCGUCCUCUGCUCGUUCUCGCGGGGAUUCUACGAGGGCAGGUCGACGGUGGCCGCCGUCAUCACCGUGGCGGAGGCGCUCGGGCUCGCCGGCUUUGUCCUUCUCGCCGAUGCUCGGUACGGUGACUUCGUCGCGCAGCCCAUCCCGUUCCCCAUCCCCGGCGUCAUGGUCCCCCGCGUCGCCGAUGCCCACCUGGUGUGGUCGUACUACGCAGAGUGCACGAUGUUCGGUGGUCUCGCCACGGCGGCGAUCACGGAAGGGAGAGCCGCGGCGUUCACAGACGCGGCGCCGGUGGUGGCACGGUACUCGUCUCGGGGGCCGGACCUGGCCGACGCAGAGUCCACGCCCGCGGACGUGCUCAAGCCGGACGUGCUCGCGCCCGGCGACCAGAUAUGGGCGGCCUGGAGCACGCUGAGCGCCAACGAGCCCAUACUCGCCGGCAACCAUUUCGCGAUGAUCUCCGGCACCAGCAUGGCGGCGCCGCACGUCGGUGGCGUCGCGGCGCUUAUCAAGCAGCGGCACCCGUCAUGGGGGCCGUCGGCCAUCGCCUCCGCGCUGUCGACCACCGCGUUGAGGCAUGACAACCGCGGGAGACCCAUCAUGGCGGAGGGCUUCGAGCUUGGCAUGUCGCAGCCGGCGACACCAUUCGAUUGCGGCGCAGGGUUCAUCAACCCUGCCGGCGCAAUGGACCCCGGGCUCGUUCUCGAGUCCGGGUUCGACGACUACAUCAGCUUCCUCUGUUCGUUGCCGCAGCUCAGCCCCGACGAUGUCCGAGGAGCCACCGGAGAGACAUGCCAGGCUGCACUUGAUUCUCCAGCGGACCUCAACCUGCCGUCCAUCACCGUCUCUGCGCUGCAAGGGUCUCUGACCCUGCGGCGCAGGGUGACGAAUGUGGCCAGCAAUGCCGAGAGAUACCUCUGCUCCGCCCUACCGCCGGACGGGGUAGUCGUCGGCGUGCGGCCGGGGUGGUUCGACAUUGCUCCAGGAGAGACACAGGAGGUUGUGAUUGAGAUGAAUGUGAGCAGGGCGUCAGGGGCUUUCAGCUUCGGAGAGAUAGUCCUUACUGGCAGCCUAGAUCACCUGGUCAGGCUGCCUCUGGCAGUCCGGGCGCCCUCAACCACAUGA
rnacentral:rRNA from 1 species